rnacentral:rRNA from 1 species
GAUGAACGCUGGCGGCGUGCCUAAUACAUGCAAGUCGAGCGAAUGGAUUAAGAGCUUGCUCUUAUGAAGUUAGCGGCGGACGGGUGAGUAACACGUGGGUAACCUGCCCAUAAGACUGGGAUAACUCCGGGAAACCGGGGCUACUACCGGAUAACAUUUUGAACCGCAUGGUUCGAAAUUGAAAGGCGGCUUCGGCUGUCACUUAUGGAUGGACCCGCGUCGCAUUAGCUAGUUGGUGAGGUAACGGCUCACCAAGGCAACGAUGCGUAGCCGACGUGAGAGGGUGAUCGGCCACACUGGGACUGGGACACGGCCCAGACUCCUACGUGAGGCAGCAGUAGGGAAUCUUCCGGAAUGGACGAAAGUCUGACGGAGCAACGCCGCGUGAGUGAUGAAGGCUUUCGGGUCGUAAAACUCUGUUGUUAGGGAAGAACAAGUGCUAGUUGAAUAAGCUGGCACCUUGACGGUACCUAACCAGAAAGCCACGGCUAACUACGUGCCAGCCGCCGCAGUAA